rnacentral:rRNA from 1 species
GACGAACGCUGGCGGCGUGCUUAACACAUGCAAGUCGAACGGAAAGGCCCUGCUUUUGUGGGGUGCUCGAGUGGCGAACGGGUGAGUAACACGUGAGUAACCUGCCCUUGACUUUGGGAUAACUUCAGGAAACUGGGGCUAAUACCGGAUAGGAGCUCCUGCUGCAUGGUGGGGGUUGGAAAGUUUCGGCGGUUGGGGAUGGACUCGCGGCUUAUCAGCUUGUUGGUGGGGUAGUGGCUUACCAAGGCUUUGACGGGUAGCCGGCCUGAGAGGGUGACCGGCCACAUUGGGACUGAGAUACGGCCCAAACUCCUACGGGAGGCAGCAGUGGGGAAUAUUACACAAUGGGCGGAAGCCUGAUGCAGCAACGCCGCGUGCGGGAUGACGGCCUUCGGGUUGUAAACCGCUUUCGCCUGUGACGAAGCGUGAGUGACGGUAAUGGGUAAAGAAGCACCGGCUAACUACGUG